AUUGAACGCUGGCGGCAGGCCUAACACAUGCAAGUCGAACGAGUGGCGGACGGGUGAGUAAUGUCUGGGAAACUGCCCGAUGGAGGGGGAUAACUACUGGAAACGGUAGCUAAUACCGCAUACCAUCGGAUGUGCCCAGAUGGGAUUAGCCAGUAGGUGGGGUAAAGGCUCACCUAGGCGACGAUCCCUAGCUGGUCUGAGAGGAUGACCCGCCCCCCUGGAACUGAGGCACGGUCCAGACUCCUACGGGAGGCAGCGGUGGAGAAGAUUGCAACAUGGGCGCAAGCCUGAUGCAGCCAUGCCGCGUGUAUGAAGAGGGCCUUCGGGUUGUAGAGUUCUUUCAGCGAGGAGGCGUUACUCGCAGAAGAAGCGCCGGCUAACUCCGUGCCAGCAGCCGCGGUAAUUC
rnacentral:rRNA from 1 species